rnacentral:snRNA from 1 species
AGAUGUAAGGGUGAUAUGGCUGUGACAUCUGUCACCCACUGAUCACCAGGAUUCAUUUGGCUGAUCUGACUGGCUAUACAAGUGCCUUCUUCCUCCCUCACCAUUCCAUGUGUGUCCCUCUGGAAGCUGCAUGCUCAGUCAAAAAGGACAACCUUCUCUGAUCGAGGAGGACUAUUUCCUAGGUCAAGGGUAUAUAUGUAGCAGCACUCUCCCAUGCUAGAACCUCCAAAGUUCCCAAACCUCUAUCCUUUAUACAUGGUACACCACCCAUACCAUACUCCUAACCCUCACUUAGACUAAAUAG